CAUAACACCACCUUAUUUAUUAUUGAUGUUAAAAGAAUCUUUCAAUAACACUGUCUAUAACACACUAAUUUUUUUUAUGAAUUGAAAUGCACGACAAUCCUAUAUUUUUUUGCUUGAUUCGCACCGCCCAAGAAAAAUUGCGAAAAGUAAAUCAUUCCACUCCUCCCCGCCCCUUCCUACUUUCUACCACUACUUUCAGUUGGUUACGCCCUCCUCCUUCAAAAUAUUCCAGAUUCACUCAAUCCAAAUUUUUCCCAAAGACAAAAUCGAAGAGUUCACUUCGAUCUAAAUAUAGACUUUUCGUAAUUGGGCUUCUUAUCGGGUGAAAGUUUAUCGGUGACGACUUCUACUUCAUCUCAGGCGAACAUAGAUCCCGACAGAUGUGUGGUUGAAUCAUCAAUUGUCAGUAUGCAUUUUAAAUUAGAAAUUUAAUUUUGUUAUCCAGGUUUAUCAAUUGUAAUUUUGCGAGUCGUUUAUAAGAAUUUAUGUUGUUCACCAAUUUGUGAUACUCGAUGUUGGAGAUUUUCUAGGUUUAUGAUAAUAUGAUUUUAGAAACGUUCUUGUAGGAAUUAGGCUUGAAUUAUGAGUUUUUAGGUUUAUCGGUUGUUGCUGCAGCUUUGUUGUUGUUGCAAUUGUUGCGUUUGUUGUUGUUAGUUAAUGUUGUUGAAGGUGUCGUUGUUGAUGUGUAGUUGUUGCGUAGUCAGACUCAAAACUCACCACAACUUCCUCUUGUUUCUCUGCUACCCAAGUGAUUAACGAUUAUGAAUUGAAGGGAAAUUAGCACUAGCAGUACUAUCUAUGCUGACAGGUUGGGGAUUUUAUUUGAUGGAAGGUGAGGAUACUUACCAGCUACAAGCCACCGAGCUCAGUAGCUUUUUCAGCAGAUAGAAAUACUAUCUAAUGCUUGACACCGAACGCGAGAUGUGCUUUAUCAGGAGGGAAUGAGGUGAAGUAUGGUUCUAAAUUACUAAUGUCAGGGAAAGGAUAUUGUUCUAUGUCCAAAAUGCAAGCGAUUUAUGUCCUUAUUUAUUUAGAUAAGCAAUGCCAGUCUUUAACAGCUUAUACUUGUAUAUAAUAAUUUGUUCACAUCAUGUUACAAUUUAUAAACAUCGUUUAACAAAUAUAAUUUAGGUAGAGGAGCCAACAAAAACUAAAAAGACCUUCUAGCUUAUUUCAUCGGCUUCUUCACUAUUGUAGGUUUUUCUAUCUGUAUUAGAUUCUAUAAUAUAUGAGAGGACCGACAACUGGUGAGAUCAGGUCUUGUUCGAAGUACUUGAGUUCAAACGGAAUUUGAUAGAGAAGAGGAUAACAAGGUAUUCUUCACGCAUUGGGUAUUUAGUCUUCCAGUCUCAUGUUCUAUUCGGGAUUAGUUAUCUUUUCAUGCAUAGUUACUUAUAUUGAUGCUGCAGAGAUAUUGGAAUUAGUCGAAUUCAGUCUACAUCUUGGUGAAUGGGCACUUAAAUUUUAUUUGAUGUUGCAGAGCUAUUAAGAAAACAUAUCAUUCUUGGAUUUAUGCACUACUUUUUGUUUCGUUUUUUUUUUUUUUUGUAUUGUUUAUUUGUUAAUUUCUUUUUUCAUAAGAGGCUUUUAUGCACUAGUUGUGAUGUUUUUUUAUUUGACCUUUUAAUGUACAGGGAUUCUUGCUUGAGAAAAAGCCUGAUAGUGUUGCUUCUGUAAUUCAAGUUGUCAAUCAGAGCAUAGGUAUGCAUGGAUGAUCUUCAAGUCUUUCCAGCAAAUAGUAUUGCUGAUGACCAGCGAGCUGGAUGUGCUUGACGUGCUGGUAGAACUGGCCCUGGCACUUGCUACUGGCUUUACAUAGUGGUCCUAGGUUUCAGAGGACAAAUAUGGGCACUGUCAUGUUUCCCCGAGUGAUGAUUUUCUAAUUUUAGUUGUGAAUGUGAUGUUAGGAGAAGUAUAUGACAUGUAUAGUUUUUUUCUUCCUGAACAUGAUAGAUUAUUGUAUAUUAUUUUAAAAUUAUGAGAAUGAAAUUGGAUCGUAUAUAUUAUUUUACAA